rnacentral:rRNA from 1 species
GACGAACGCUGGCGGUGUGCUUAACACAUGCAAGUCGAACGGAAAGGCCCUGCUUUUGUGGGGUGCUCGAGUGGCGAACGGGUGAGUAACACGUGAGUAACCUGCCCUUGACUUUGGGAUAACUUCAGGAAACUGGGGCUAAUACCGGAUAGGAGCUCCUGCUGCAUGGUGGGGGUUGGAAAGUUUCGGCGGUUGGGGAUGGACUCGCGGCUUAUCAGCUUGUUGGUGGGGUAGUGGCUUACCAAGGCUUUGACGGGUAGCCGGCCUGAGAGGGUGACCGGCCACAUUGGGACUGAGAUACGGCCCAGGCUCCUACGGGAGGCAGCAGUGGGGAAUAUUGCACAAUGGGCGGAAGCCUGAUGCAGCAACGCCGCGUGCGGGAUGACGGCCUUCGGGUUGUAAACCGCUUUCGCCUGUGACGAAGCGUGAGUGACGGUAAUGGGUAAAGAAGCACCGGCUAACUACGUG